GAGGAUGGGGGGCCGUCUUGGCCAGCCGAGGUGCCGUUACUCAAGCUCCAGGAAUGCCUGCGGUCAUUUCCCCGGGGAUCCCUGGGCCCUCAACGCAAGGGCCACCUCCCUGCCGAGCUGCUUCUCACCCUCUGAUACCCGGAAGCCUCCAGCGGGGGGGUGAGGAGGACAGGGGGGGUCCCCGUCCCCAUUAUCAAAGCGCCUUUCCCGCAGCAAAGCGUGGGGGUGGGUGAGCUGGGCCGGAAGCCUCCUGAGACCCAGUAUUUGGCACCAGACGGCCUGCCUCCCCCACCCCAGACCCAGUUUCAAUAAACAAUGCACAGAUGUCUCCUCAAAGCUUUUCUGGCCCGACCCUUCCUCUCUAGGCCAUUCCAUGAGCUGGCUCUGCAGUCCGGGGACGUUCGGAGAGCCAGCUGAGUAAGAGGCCAGAGAUGCCGAGGGAGGGCGAGGGCUGGUGCCCCUCCUGGCCUAUGACUGAGCCCCGACCCUGGUCCUACGCUGACUCCAAACACACCGAGGUUGGAUACCAUCACCAACUCCGAACCGCGAUCUCAUUGUUCGUCCCGACUGGGUCCACACACAUGCCUCCUGCUCCAGGAAGUCCUCCCUGCCUGGCAGUGACGUUCCAGGCUGCACGUACGUCUGUCCCACCACUAGAUCCGUCUUGAUCCGGGUCUUGUGUCUCCCCUAACUGGCUCCCCCUGGCCAUGUUCUACCUCUGUCACACUGGGGGAAGCCGCUGGAAAAGAGAAUAGCCUUGGGAGUUCAGGCUGGGUUCCCUACCCCAGUCAGAGGAGGGGACCCCCUGCAGAGGUCCCUGGGCACCGCAGGCCCCUCCCUCAGCUGGAAUGAUGCCUCCUUCUCUGCCUGCUCUCCUACAAGGCUCAGCUUCCCCAUCUGGACAUGGAGAGACAACGCUAAUCUGCGGCCUCCUGCUCAAAAGCAGCAGAUGAAGGAAAGCGGAACGCCAAAUCGCCCUCAUCUCAUGAGCCUGGGCUGGAGGAUAAACCAGGUCCAGCAGGAAGCGAUCUCAUAGCCCUGAGGGCCAGGAGUCAGCUCCCUCGCACACCAGACGUCUUCUGCCCCGGCCUCUGAUGCCACUGGUGCCUUGUCUUGGAAUUCUACACACGUGCAUGUUUAUGCAGGAAUAUAUAAUGUCCGCAAAGGCAAGGGUUUUGUCUCUUUCUUUCCGCAAAGGAAUACUCAGCUCCAGCCUGGGCCCAGCACGCAGGACGGUCCCUUGUGAGACCAGGGGAGAGAGGAUGUGGCCUUGCAAGCGGAUGAUAACAGAGGAGACAGGAAGUCUGCCUGAGACGCGGCUGCUCGGGACACAACUUGUUUGUUCCGACACUAGUGACCUUCAGCCAAACAGGGGAGCAGGAAGAGGACCCAGGUCCCUCUGUCUCCACAGCUCGUCUGACCCCUCACAACAGCUUCCUCAGCCUCAAGACUCCGUUUCUUUCUGAAGGAGCACCCGAGACAACCUCAGGGAAGGAAGAAGGGAGGCUGAGCUGUGAUUCUGGCUCGCCAGUCACCCGUGAUGUGACCCUGGACAAGCCACUUAACCUCUGAGAGCCUCAGUUUACUCAUCUGCAAAAUGGGGAUGGUAAGUAGUAUCUAGGGUUGCCCCGAGGAUUAAUGGACUCUAAUCAUAAAGCUCCAGGAAGAGUAGAAGACGCUGAGAAAGCACGGUGUAAGUGCUUGCAACAUAAGUCUUCCGGAGUCUGGAGUGAGAAUGGCAAGUCUUCGCAAACACCACACGGGGAAGGGGCUCUGCUUCCAAAGCCUUGCAGAUCCGCCGUCCCAACUCACCCUGUCAUGACCCGUGCCUGGAGCACAGUGAACAGGCAAGUAUGUAAAGGAGUGAAUAAGUGAGGUGUGCAGGAGGAGCCAGAAUCCAUCAAGUUCAACAAAAUUACGUCUGAUGGUUAAGGACUCAGUAUGGGGGUUCACGCAGACUCACAACCUGGUUGCACGACUAAGAGGCCGUGUGAACAUCAGCAAACGAGCCUGUCACCUUAUGAGAUGGGACAGAGAACAGUACCCGGCUUGUGGGGUCACUGCGGAAAUUAAGGGCAGUGAUGUGUAAAGUGCCCACAAAUGCUCGUGUCAUUCUCCCUCCCCUGGCUGCAGCUGGGGAAACCGAGGCCCAGAGAGCUGCUGGAGGAGGCUGCAGCGCUUGGCCUGCCCCACCUGGCUCACAGGGAGAGUGUGGGUCCUCCUAGGGUCGUCUGGGUGUAGGGCAGAGAUGACAGGCUCGGCUGCGCCAGCUGAGAGACCUCCCUAGGUCUCUGCUGUCUCCGCACCAGAGGAGUGCCGUCCCCAGUCCCCGCCUCUCCAGGAAGCUGUGAGGGUGAGUGACAUUGCACAUUUCAGCGGCGUGGCGGGUGCUCUUCAGCAGAUGGCGGGGUUGUUACUAUCAUCCUUGCUCUGGGGCUCGAACUCUGGACGUUUUUUGGGUACGGCCAGCUUCUGUCCUUCCCUGCACCGACUCCAAGCCCCAGGGAGAUUCCCCUCUACUUCGGAAACUCCUGGAGCCCACCUGGGAGAAGCAGCCAGAGUGGACAUUCCUCGGGGACCCUGGAGCCUCGGCCCUCAGCCUUGCCAGCCAGCAUUUGUUCACCCCUUGCACUGUGCCUCAGGAUGAGGCUUGAUUCAGGUGACUGUCUACCCUCAUAAUCCAGCCGGCAACCAUCCAACACUGCCCCUCAGGUGCCCCAUGUGGGGUUAGGUUUCAGACUCCAGGCAGGACUGCUGCAAGGAGUGACUGGUUUGUCCACCCCGCCCCCCCCCCCCACCAAGCUAGAUGCAGAGCCAGGCUCAUGGAGGGGGCCGGGACCUGGAGGGUUAAGCCUUCCCUGCCUCCAGCCUCCUGCCUGCCCCCUGCAGUGCUGGCCCAGCUGCUUGGAAUCCCUGGGGUCCUGUAGGGCCCUCCCGCCAGCCAGAUGGGCAACAGCGUCAGGAGAGGAGGAGGAGAAGUGGAAACAGGCCUCAGGGUACCCCCAGUUGGGGAGGGGGAGGGAGGAGGAAGGAUGGGGGGAGAACAGAGGAUGGCCAUGAGGUAGGGGAUGGCCAGUGGCUGAGAGUGGAGAAGGCAGGACCCCUCUUGGAGAGCCAGGCAGAGGGCUGGGGAUGCCUCGGGGCUUUGGGGCUGCGGGGAGAUGGGGCACAGGCUGGCGUGCUCAGCUGCCCUCAGCCUCAGAGCCGGCUCUUGGCGUGAAACCCUCCUCAGUGCUGGCUCCUCAGCUCCUCUUUCUUUUUUCUUAAUAAGGUCGAAUCAGAGUGAGUCAGAGGAGCCAAGUUUCCUGUUAGGCUCUGUUUGAAUAAACCCUGCUCUGGACAGAGCUUGGGCCUCUGCAUAGGUUCCCGGGGCCAGGGCCAUGGCCCUGUCAGCCAGCUCUGCUGAGACUAGAUGGGGUCCCGAGGAGGACCCUGCCAGGGACCUGGCCUGGCCCUCAGCCAUUCCCUGGGGAAGCCUGUUCCACUCGCAGAGCUUCAGUCUUCAUCUGUGUCUUGGGGGUGAGAAUACAUUUCUUGUGGUAAAUUGGGGCAGAUGAAAUGGGAAGGUUAUGAAAAGUGGCCAGGCACGUGGCCACUGUCUUUCCUCCUCCCUCACCUGUGGGAGGUGGCAGGGCUCCUCUCCCACAGGUGUUCCCCCCUCCCAUUUUCUCUGUCCCUUUCCUGUUUGGAUCUGUCUCCAGCAUCCUUCCUAGUCCAGGGGGAACCUUGUGCGGGAUUGGGGGGGGGUUGCUGAGCGCCACCCCCUUCUUUCCUCCUCUUCACUCCCUCCUUCAACCUCCUUUGCCCUUCCUGUCUGCACCUCUGCAGCUCUGUGAGCCCAGGGGAGCUUGCCCAUCUCCCCCUGUCCAGACACAGGGCCAGGCCUCGCCUCAGUAGCUGGAGGUGUCCUGGCAUCCUCCGGCUGAAACCUUCAGAGUGGCGUUCUGAAGAGACCUGGCCAGGCCGCCGAGGGUGCAGAGCCUGGCGCAAGUGAGGCCCUUGAGUCACCAGGCUGGGCUGGGCCUGAGCUGUCUGGACAUGAGGGGGUGGCGUGGGGACUCCUCUCGAGGCCUUGUCCUUACAGGCUGGGAUUCACACCCACGUUUGUAAGAUCUAGCCAUAUGGUUGAGGCUUGUUGCCAGUCCCUGCCCUGGCACUAGGAACCGGGCUCCAGGGACCUCAGAGGGCCAGCGAUAUAGGGCUGAAAGCUUGUCGAUAGCGCAUGACUUCACUAAGACCUACUGUGUGCUGGGAUCUGGGCUGGGCUGCUCUGUUGCUGGGGCUCUCAUGGAGCAGUCAGUGUCCGGUGACCCUGUGAUGGAACUCCAGGUUCUGGAAAUCCACGCAGGAGUGAGGAAGUAUCAGGCCUGACCAGCAGAGGAUUUGGGGAGCAGAGGAGGGACUGAGUGUGGUUUGCCUCACUGCUUUGCAGAGGGAAGGACCAGGAGGCCUGUUGGGGGUCUGAAUGUUUCUGUGAUUGGGGGUGUGGGUAGGGAUGAGGCAGGCUCCCUGUGCUCCUGUCCUGGAUCUCCCCCUCCUCCCAUAAUCACUGGCUGCUGAGCUCAGGCCCUGGCACCUGGGUGGGCAGCUCAGGAAAGGGCAUUGACGGGAUUUGUGUUGAAUUGGGAUUGAAAGCCCAGCCAGCCUUGAACUAUGCACCCCGGCCCUGCUUCUGGAAAGGGGGCUGAAGGAGGUGCUGAAUGAGGAGGCCUGGUGAGCUGGCACAGAACUUGCUGACUCUGCAGGGAGAGGGCCACCGAGUGACCACUGCCAGCUGAGGCCCGCGCUGUCCCCUCCCAGGCAGCCACAUCUGGCGCAAUGGUUGGGGAGGCAGGGGCGCUUUGGUCCCCAGAGCCAAGCCAAGGGAGGGGCCCAUGGAGGGGACUGCGGCCCUUUGGUUUGGAGUGUCUCUCUUCAGGGAAGGAACUCUGGAGAAGUCCGGAAGUGGGGGAGUGAGGUCAGGACCUUUUCAAGGGACAGAUGGGGGAGGGGGGAAGGGGAGGGAAGGAACCCACCCUUUUCUAGGACCCAGAGGAAUUCAGUGGCUCUGGCUGCCUCCCACUCUGCUUUCCCUCCCAGCUCUGCAACCCCCCACAGGGUUCCCUGGGGAAUUGGAAAUACUGGAGCUGAAAUAACAGUCUGGGCACCAAGGCAAGUCUCCAUGGCUCCACAGAAGCAGGAAGCCCCCUCGGGCCCCCUGGGCCACCAGCCUGGCCAGCUUCUCCCUUUCCUAACUUUCUGCCCAGAUCAAGAGGCAGUCAUGGCUGGGGCCUGCUAAAUGGAAACCUUCCCCUUUCCCACCCCCCACCCCUCCAACCCGGGGCCCAGAACUGGUAGAGGCCCAGCGGAUCCUCAGUACAGGAUGCAAGAGAGGGAAUCUUGUCCCAGGGCCUGCCUCAGUGGAGGGAUUGUGCCAAAGCUGUUGGCCGGGGCCUGCUGUGUGGAGAGCCCCUUAGGUCCGGGUUGGGGGGCAGAUAGACCUCAGCCAGCAUGCAGUGGGGAGAAGGAGGGAACAGAGUCCCCUGCCCAAAGGAGAAAGCUGGCAAGAGCCAGAGGGGUGCCAGUCCCUUGGGCUACAGCCCUGUAAUCCCUGAGGAGGGAAACUGAGGAAGGAACCCAAUGAUACCAACUAAUAGCAUCCUGGCAAAGCUAAGGGACCCCUGUCUCCUCUCCUCUCUCUCUUGUUUUCCUUCUUCUGUAUCUUCAACUUUCAUUUGGGUCUCACUAGGUUUCUCUAGCUUUUGUUUCUUUUUCUCAACACCCGCCCCCCCAUCUCGUCAUUCAUUCAUUCAUCUCCAGGUGCCUCCAUUUCUGUGGCUUGCGGGCUCUUCCGUCUGUCUGUUCUUCCACUGGCUUACCCACUCACUCCGUCUCUGCUGCCAGUGUUUCUCCCAGCUAUUCCUUCAUCUGUCUGCACGUUCAGUCAGCAUGUCCCCCGCGUGCCUGCUGAGCGCCAGGCCCCUGGGCUGGCGGCGGCGGGGGGNUGGGUGGGGGGGUGACAGAAGGUGCACCUGGCCAUCCGGAAGAGAGUUGAGAGAGUCGCAGUCUGGUGAGGGCAACGCGAUAGGCAAGACCAGAGUGCCGAGCCCUGAGUGGAGGCGGGGACGUUGUGCCAACUCUCUGUGACCUAUGAGAGAAUUUGUCUGUCCAUCUGUCCGACCGUGAUCCCCGUCUGUGUGUGACUCUAUCCUUGCGUGUGUCGCCUUUGUGGGGUGGCUUGCUUUCUGCUUUCUGUGGAGCACGUGCAGUUUGCUCAUUUCCCUCUGGUGGGGGAGGCAGGGGUGCUGAAGGGCCAGUGUUCUGGGCCAGGGGGCCGUGGGGCCGAGGAGGGCGCAGGACCCUGGGGACAGCGCUGACAGUGGUGCCUGCUCCCGGGCUGCCUGGGGCUCCGGUGCUUGGGCUUCUACUCCUCUACUCAAACGGUGUUGUUUUGCAGACAGUUCUGGCUAAGAUGAUAUGAUGGUCAUGGGUAUGGAUUAAGCUCCUACUGUAUGCCACAGGACUGGACAAAAUAAGGUUCUUCACUGAUGGUAUUUCCUAUAGUUUCGUGUGUGUGUGUGACCCCCCUCCCCCAGCCCCCCCCCCCAGGAGGCCUCCAGGAGUUCAGUUUUGCCCACCUGGGUCCUGGAAGUGGGGGUCACAGGGUAUGAAAGAGGAGUGCAGACAAGAUACCAGCAAUCUCUCCCUUAUUCUAUAGCUUUUUAUUUCAGCUUACAAAAGAAACACAUCAAUUACAGGAAAUUUAAAAUGUAGACUAAUAAAAAAAUAACUCUGUAACGUAGAGAAAACUACUCUCUUGGGAUUCCCCCCCCCCACUUUUUUAAUAAAUUGAGAUCAUACUGCAUAUGUUGUCUUAUAACCUGCUUUGUUUAUGUAAGAAUAUUUGGUGACUAUUUACCCACGUCAGGGGUUAUAACUGUCAAGACCUGCUUCCCUUUUCAGUAUUCACAUGGAUCCCUGAGCUCCUGCUUGCCCAGAAGAAGAGGUGAGCAAGCCUUCAUUCCCUCUAUAUGCCCUCUGGGUAGGACCUUGUUGGGGGGGGGCUGGCUCCAGCCUCCACCCCUCCCGUUAAGCCCUCACCCCCUUCAGGCUGAACCUGGACCCCGAGGCUAUAGUCAGACCUCCAGGUUCACUCGGUCAGGAUGAGCUCAGCUCUAGGUGGGGACAUCCUGACCCACUAGUGAAGAUGCCAGGUGGAGUGGUAGGGGUUGCCUUAAUUUCUGUCUGCCCAGGAGGCCAGCCACUUCCUUCCUUCGCUCCCCAUGGAGCAGGUGGUGGCUACCAGCCUUAUGCCUACAUAACCAAGAGGGACUCUGGGGACCCCAGAAGACCUGCCCCACAGACGUUUUUGUGUUCUCCAGGAAGAGAAGCAUCUGGCAACUUAAUUAAAAGUAACGUUAACAUUUUUUACUCUAAUAUAUACAUGAGACAAGUAUGCCAAGUGUACAGUUGGAUGAAUGAUCAUGGAACGAGCACUGAGAUCGAGAACUGGAACAUCCCAGCAGCCAGCCACUGCUAGCAGGAAGCAGGAAGCUCCUGGAAGUUCUGCCUAUGUCAGCACUUGGCUGCAUCUAAAACUAUUUUCCUUCAACAUGAUUUUUAAUGACUGAAUUAUGUGGAUAAAUCAUAAUGUAAUUAAUAACCUCCCUUUGUUGGUUUCAUUUUACUUUCUUAGCUCUUCGAAGUGAUGCUAUAAUAAGCACCCUGCACAUGAAUCUUCGUGUCUGCUCGGCUGUGUAAUAGCCUGAGUGCCUGGGUUUGCUUCCAGCCCUCAUUUGUGAGCUGCGUGACUCCCUCUGCCUUUUUUCUUUCCGUAAAAUGGGAAGAAUGAACUCUCUUUCGCCCUCUCACUUGCCUGCUCUGAUGAAACCAGCUGCCAUGUUGUAAGCCACCUUCUGGGAAGCCCACGUGGCAAGGAACUGAGGGUGGCUUCCGGCCAACAAGUAUCAAGGAACUGAGGCCCUCAGCCCCAACAACCCAUGAGGAAUGGAAUCCUGCCACCAACCACAUGGGUGGUCUUCCCCAGGUGAACCUUCAGAUGAGACCACAGCCUUGGCUAAGAACUUGAUUAUAGCCUUGUGGGAGACCCUGUGACAGAGAACUCAGCUAAGCCACACCCAGAUUCCUGACCCACAGAAACUGAGAUGGUAACCGACGAAGCCAUGACAAGACUUGUGCCCACCCUGUUGGGACAGGAGAGAUGAGGCAUCAGGGAGACACUGACCCACGGAGGAGCUUCCACCAGUUAUCUACUUGGCCUAGCAACUAUGGACACCCCAAGACCUCCCAGUGAGCUCCUCCCAAGUGCUGUUGAUGCCCAGCACUGCUACAUCUUCCAAAUGACACCCUGUCUGCAAGCCCCAUGCUUCCCACCUGCCCUCCAAAUUCAGGGGCAGCCAGCAAAUGCUGUCAGCAUCUCAUCUACUCGCUCCUUAUGAGGGAAGCUUUUGUUUUCUCAGAAAGUGGAAUUGUGAUCCAGUCCUUGGGGGUCUCCCUUCAAUCUGGAUCUUGGCCCUUUUCCACAGAUCGCCAGCAUUCCUGGCACGGGGAUUCACUUGCCCUGGCUUCCAGGCCAGCACAGGCUUUCCCUUCUUUAUAUUCAUCUGAUCAAUUCAGCUGGGAUCUGGGCAGGAGGAGAGCCCUGCACCAGUGUGACAGGAUGUUGCGUGGGACUUUUCCUUCUGUUCUGGAAUGCAGCUAAGACCCAAAACUGAGUACAAAUAACAUGAGGGACCCUGUGUCCCCACGCUCAGAGAGUUGCCAGCGAGCAGCGGAGCUGUAUCGUCUCCCUGCGGCAGGAAUCACGAGGGGGCUGCACUGGCUCCUCUCUCAUCACCCAGCACGGCCUCCCACAGGGAGGGCAAGGGGCAGGGGUGGGGGAGAGUAGUCUGCCAUGUGCGGAGUGCUGUGUUCAUGAUGGGGCCUCUCUCUCCCUUCUUCGGGGGAGGGCUGCUCUUUCUCCCUGAAGCCACAGGGAAUUUCCAGUAAGGCAGACCAGCAUGUCAUAGCCCAGGUGGGUGUCUGCGGACUCUGUGAUACACUUCCGAAGCGUCUGAGUUGGGAAAGGGGAAUGGGAGACAGACAGCAGGUGGAGAGAGCCGUGUGUGCGGGCCAAGCUCAGGCCCACACACACGCUGGUGCCCAGCCCAGGCAGACCUUGUGCAGGGCUUCCAAGGACGCCUUUGUGGACAGGUCCUCCGGAGGGAGCCAGCUUUUGAACAGAGGGUGAGACGGAGGAGCACAGAAGCAGUGAGGAUCCACCCACGGGAGGACAGUCUUGUGAGAUUUGCUUUCACCUCCCUCUCCUGCACCCCCCACAUGUCCCAGGGAUCCCCGGAAGAGAGAGCGGGAGGAUGGGUGUAGCAGGAUUCCCCUUGCUCUGGACCGUGCCUCUGGGGGUCAGUGCUCUCUGGCUGAGUAGAGGUGGGGAUGCCGGCCGGGGGUGAGCAGGAACCCCUCUCGGUUCUGGUUACGGAAACCAGAUUGUUCCAAUAGAUGAGGGCGGGGAAUUGUGUGCUGCAGCCAUCACUGAGAGCCCUGCGGCCCAGCAGGAGAAGGGAUUUCAGCGGAGCUGAGGGCGGCAGGAGGGUGGCAGUUAGAAAGCAAAUUUAUACCUCAGCAGAUCGAGACUCAAGGAAAUGUGUUACACUUGAAUAAAAUCUUUCUUAAAAGCAAAAGGGACAUCUUCAAAAGAUGAAUGGAUUAAGAAGUUGUGGCCCAUAUAUACAAUGGAAUAUUACUCAGCCA